GUGUUGCCGCGCAAGGCAAUCUAGUUUAUAUAUUUUUUCUAAUAAUAGUAAUUGUAGAAUUAUUGUAGUAUAUCUAAUAUUAGUUAAUUAGUUGUUAUCUGUAGUUUGCAUUAUUUCUUGUAAAAUUAUUAUCUGUAUUCCUUUGUAGAAUUUCAUUGUCUUUUGCAUAAUCUUGUAUUAUCUAUAACUUUUUCCGGCCCUUCCUAAUUUAACUUCUCAACAUGUCACAUCGUAUUAAAAGCAAUUAAUUAAAAUUUAAAAGUAUAUUGAGUUUUAAUUAACAAAUUAAGGCUCCAUUAUGUAUCAAAUACAGUAUGAAUUACUAAAAUA
rnacentral:misc_RNA from 1 species